CUCCCAUUUCUGCAUGUUCCAGUUCAAAAAGUGCGACUUUCGACAUUCCCAAAUCUGCCGUUCGACAACAAGCAAACCCUUUUCCUGUAUUAGUGGGUUAUCCAACUCGCCUCCAUCCCAUCGUCCCCUCCACUCGGUGAUCAUCCAGUCCAUUUGAUAGUGAUUGGCAUCAAGAACACCUCUGGAUUUCUUCUUUUGGACUGUUGAGGUUUUUUGUUCUACUAAUUUGUUGGUGUUGUGUCUUUCCA